GGGCCGGUGGCGAAAUCGGCAGACGCAGCAGACUUAAAAUCUGCUUCCGCGUAGGCGGAGUGUGGGUUCGAAUCCCGCCCGGCCCA
rnacentral:tRNA from 1 species